CUUCCAGGGUUAAGGCCAAGCACCUGUACAACCACCCCAGGGCUCCAUCUGAGCCACAGCCUGAAGUUUCCCUUCCAUGUAGACAGCUGGGGAGGGUUAUUGACCUCUUUGAUAUGGACUGGGGACACAGCCAGAGUCGGCAUGAACAGAGGAAAAUUCACAUCAGAGGUUUUUUAGAAAGCAGAACAGGCAAAAACAGUCUGUGAUGUGUAACUUCAGGCCUCUAGCACACAGGGAGAGCUAUGGAGGCACCCCAAGUGGGUUCCCAAAACCAUGGGCAGGCAGAGCCACCCUCCUCACCAGACUGUUUAACCACUGAGAAACUAAAAAUGAUCACAAAAUCUUCUUUCCCCAGGUGCCAUUACAUUCUGGGAAGCCUAACCAGAGGCACGCAGGCAGGGAGGGAGUUUAGACCAGGUCCAAGCAGAGGAGAGGCCGAGCUGGCUGGGGCAGUUAACCUCUGACAGACAGUCUGUAAUAUACCUGACACAGAAAACAAACCAGGGCCUGAUCCAGCCUUCUUUGAAGUCAAAUGGAGUCUUUCCAUUGACAUCAGAGGGUGUGGGAUUUGUCUCACAGCAACUUAUACCAAUGAGAACAAUAUUUUGCUCUGAAGUCAUUACUUUCUGCCGUGGAUGUUUGGAAAACAGCUCGUCACCUGACAAUACACCCUGAAGGCAGAUGUGAAGCCGUUCCCAGUUGGAUUUCAACAUCCCAGUGCUGGUGGGUCAGUGCCUAUGGCUGCACAGAGCCUUUUGGAGCUCCUCAUCACAGCACUGUUAGAGUGAUGUUACUGCAAAGAGGAGUUUCUACAUGCCAUCGCUGCAGCUCUCACCUCAUCACCAGCCAAAUGAAGGAACAAGGGAAAAUACUAAAAGAAGGAACUAAAAUUGAGCUGGAAUU